UACGUAGGGCGCAAGCGUUGUCCGGAAUUAUUGGGCGUAAAGAGCUCGUAGGCGGUUGGGCAAGUCACGUGUGAAAUCUCCACGCUCAACGUGGAGGCGCCACGUGAGACUGCCCUGACUCGAGUCCGGUAGGGGAGCGUGGAAUUCCCGGUGUAGCGGUGAAAUGCGCAGAGAUCGGGAGGAACACCCGUAGCGAAGGCGGCGCUCUGGGCCGGUACUGACGCUGGAGGAGCGAAAGCGUGGGGAGCAAACAGG
rnacentral:rRNA from 1 species